rnacentral:rRNA from 1 species
CCUACGGGCGGCAGCAGUGGGGAAUAUUGCACAAUGGGGGAAACCCUGAUGCAGCGACGCCGCGUGAGUGAAGAAGUAUCUCGGUACGUAAAGCUCUAUCAGCAGGGAAGAAAAUGACGGUACCUGACUAAGAAGCCCCGGCUAACUACGUGCCAGCAGCCGCGGUAAUACGUAGGGGGCAAGCGUUAUCCGGAUUUACUGGGUGUAAAGGGAGCGUAGACGGCAGCACAAGUCUGGAGUGAAAUCCCGGGGCUUAACCCCGGAACUGCUUUGGAAACUGUGCGGCUGGAGUGCAGGAGGGGUAAGCGGAAUUCCUAGUGUAGCGGUAAAAUGCGUAAAUAUAUGUAAGAACACCAGUGGCGAAGGCGGCUUGCUGGGUCGAUACUGACAUUGAGGCACGAAAGCGUGGGGAGCAAACAGGAUUAGAUACCCUGGUAGUC